rnacentral:lncRNA from 1 species
CCGGAGUUGUCCCUGUCAUAAGUUCAGUUUGCCAGAACGGAGAGAGCGGGCGGACUCAGGAUGCCGACAUCAGCCAGAGAAUUUGUAGAGCUGCAGCAAAUUGCCUGGGAAACAAGGAAUUUGUGUGAGGCUUUGUGUUGAGAGGAGGCAGGGCCCAGCGGCUCCAGCAACCACUGAACAAGAGACAGAUUAGCUCGCUCUCUUUGGAACAAAACAAGCUUUUUUUUUUUGGACCUGGACAGCGAGGAAUGGCUCUCCCAAAGGACAUUUUGUCUUUCCUUUUCCUUUUUAAAGUUCUCCUAGGUAGCCUUCCUGAGAAAUAUCAAAUAGAAAGUGGAGAUGGGGUCAAAGGGCUCCUUCUGCCCCUCCCAGGGCCUUCGUCCUGAACCUUGGUUUUGCUGCCUGCAGAUUUCUGUAAAUGUGAGGAGUCACUCAGAGGAAAAGCCUUCUGCAAACAGAUGAUCCUCAAAUGGUGUCCUCCCACCCACCAUGUCCUGCAGAAGGAUUUGCUGCCACACUCCCUCUGCCUUCCUCUCCCUCUCCCCCUCCUCCCAGGGAGGGAGGCACGGAAAUGGAAAUCAGCUAGCUAGCAUCUAAUGAUUCCCUACUGUGUGAAGAGCAUUCCAUGUUCUAGAGGUGUCUUUGAUGGAAAGGAAGAGAAUAAUGAUCUGGGAAGUGCAUCUCUAUGUCCCUCCUGGAAGAGUAUUUCGGAAUGUGGAGAGACGCUGAGCCUCAUAUGCUGAUUUUAUUUUAAUCAUUCACCCAGAGAAAGGAGAAAGACUUCUGCAUUCUCUAAUCCAAAAUUAAAGAGUCUUUUGCAAAGAUCAGGAUAGCAGAUGUUAUUGAGA